rnacentral:tRNA from 1 species
GCUGAGUUCGUCUAGUCUGGCCCAGGACACCACCCUUUCAAGGUGAGAACGCCGGUUCAAAUCCGGUACUCAGCUCCA